rnacentral:rRNA from 1 species
GACGAACGCUGGCGGCGUGCCUAAUACAUGCAAGUUGAGCGCUGAAGGUUGGUACUUGUACCAACUGAAUGAGCAGCGAACGGGUGAGUAACGCGUGGGGAAUCUGCCUUUGAGCGGGGGACAACAUUUGGAAACGAAUGCUAAUACCGCAUAAAAACUUUAAACACAAGUUUUAAGUUUGAAAGAUGCAAUUGCAUCACUCAAAGAUGAUCCCGCGUUGUAUUAGCUAGUUGGUGAGGUAAAGGCUCACCAAGGCGAUGAUACAUAGCCGACCUGAGAGGGGGAUCGGCCACAUUUGGACUGAGACCCGGCCCAAACCCCUACGGGAGGCAGCAGUAGGGAAUCUUCGGCAAUGGACGAAAGUCUGACCGAGCAACGCCGCGUGAGUGAAGAAGGGUUUCGGAUCGUAAAACUCUGUUGGUAGAGAAGAACGUUGGUGAGAGUGGAAAGCUCAUCAAGUGACGGUAACUACCCAGAAAGGGACGGCUAACUACGUG